GGGAGCGCUGCGCAGACCGCAAGUCGGCAGCAGCGCGGCUGGAGCUGGCGCGAGCUAAGCGGAGGGCCGCGCGGAGCCCGGCGCACUUCCGGGACCCGGCGCGCGGUCACUUUCGCCGCCUAGCCUCCUCUCCUCCCGCAGCCGUGGUCCGGGCGGGUGCAGUCGGAACGAGCCGCCGGAGCUAAGGGCGUGCGUGCAUGUGGAAGGAGGUCCUCGCCCCCGUGUUCUCCUGAGAGGACGCUGGAGGAGAGGGUCACGUCCCCAGAGACUCGAAGUCCGCCGUGGGCAUGAUCCACGAGCUGCUCUUGGCUCUGAGCGGGUACCCGGGCUCCAUUUUCACCUGGAACAAGCGGAGUGGCCUGCAGGGGGAAAAUUUCUUAUAAAUCCUAAGGAUAUGUCUGAGAAACUACUGGAGUUUGCAGACCCCAAUUUGAGCAGUAUUCUUAAAGUUUUUUGUAAUCAAACAAACCCUCAUAUGGACCUAGGCCAUCCCAGAAGAUUGCAUAAGAAGCAGGUGUCACAGGACUUCCCAUUUCUCCACCCCAGUGAGACGAGCGUCCUGAAUCGACUCUGCCGGCUUGGCACAGACUAUAUUCGCUUCACAGAGUUCAUUGAACAGUACACUGGCCAUGUGCAGCAGCAGGAUCACCACCCAUCUCAACAAGGCCAAGGUGGGUUACAUGGGAUCUACCUGAGAGCCUUCUGCACAGGGCUGGAUUCGGUUUUGCAGCCUUAUCGACAAGCACUGCUUGAUUUGGAACAAGAGUUCCUGGCUGACCCCCAUCUUUCCAUAUCACAUGUCAAUUAUUCCUUGGAUCAGUUCCAGCUCCUGUUCCCCUCUGUGAUGGUUGUAGUAGAGCAGAUUAAAAGUCAAAAGAUUCAUGGUUGUCAGAUCCUGGAAACAGUCUACAAACACAGCUGUGGAGGGCUGCCUCCUGUUCGAAGUGCACUAGUAAAAAUCCUGGCUGUGUGUCAUGGGGUCAUGUACAAACAGCUCUCAGCCUGGAUGUUACAUGGACUCCUCCUAGACCAGUACGAAGAGUUCUUCAUCAAACAGGGUCCCUCUUCUGGUAACCUCAAUGCUCAGCCAGAAGAGGACGAGGAGGAUCUAGGCAUCGGGGGACUGACAGGAAAACAGCUGCGGGAACUCCAGGACUUGCGCCUGAUUGAGGAAGAGAACAUGCUGGCACCAUCUCUAAAGCAGUUUUCCCUGCGGGUGGAGAUUCUGCCAUCCUACAUUCCAGUGAGGGUUGCUGAGAAGAUCCUCUUUGUUGGAGAAUCUGUCCAGAUGUUCGAGAAUCAAAAUGUGAACCUGACUAGAAAAGGCUCCAUUUUGAAAAACCAGGAGGACACCUUUGCGGCAGAGCUGCAUCGCCUGAAGCAGCAGCCGCUCUUCAGCCUGGUGGAUUUCGAGCAGGUGGUGGACCGCAUCCGGAGCACCGUGGCUGAGCAUCUCUGGAAGCUGAUGGUAGAAGAGUCAGAUUUACUUGGUCAGCUAAAGAUCAUUAAAGACUUUUACCUCCUGGGACGUGGAGAACUGUUUCAGGCCUUCAUCGACACAGCUCAACACAUGUUAAAGACACCCCCGACGGCAGUAACCGAGCACGACGUGAAUGUGGCCUUUCAGCAGUCGGCACACAAGGUGCUGCUGGACGACGACAACCUCCUCCCUCUGCUGCACCUGACAAUUGAGUAUCACGGAAAGGAGCAUAAAGCAGAUGCCACUCAGGGGAGAGAAGGGCUGUCUCGGGAAGCUUCUCCCCGGGAAGCCCCUGCAUCUGGCUGGGCAGCCCUCGGCCUUUCCUACAAAGUCCAGUGGCCGCUGCACAUUCUCUUUACUCCAGCUGUCUUGGAAAAGUACAAUGUUGUCUUCAAGUACUUGCUGAGUGUGCGUCGGGUGCAAGCCGAACUGCAGCACUGCUGGGCCCUGCAGAUGCAGCGCAAGCACCUCAAGUCCAACCAGACUGACGCCAUCAAGUGGCGCCUAAGAAAUCACAUGGCGUUCCUGGUGGAUAACCUGCAGUAUUAUCUCCAGGUGGAUGUGCUGGAGUCUCAGUUCUCGCAGCUGCUUCAUCAGAUCCACUCCACCCGAGACUUUGAAAGCAUCCGGCUGGCUCACGACCACUUUCUGAGCAAUCUGCUGGCACAGUCCUUUAUCUUGCUGAAACCUGUAUUUCACUGCCUGAAUGAAAUCCUAGACCUGUGUCACAGCUUUUGCUUGCUGGUCAGUCAGAACCUGGGCCCACUGGAUGAGCGUGGAGCCGCCCAGCUGAGCGUUCUUGUCAAGGGCUUCAGCCGCCAGUCUUCACUGCUAUUCAAGAUUCUCUCCAGUGUUCGGAAUCAUCAGAUCAAUUCGGAUUUGGCACAACUGCUGUUACGACUGGAUUACAACAAAUACUACACCCAGGCUGGUGGAACUCUGGGCAGUUUCGGGAUGUGAAAAUUUCUGCUUCAUAUACUGAGCUAACAGUCAGUCACACCAUGUUUCCAAGUUCCCCUGUCACUCACCGAGUGUCUGCCCUCUCCCAGCACUCCCAGGUGGAAGCAGCCUGCCCCUAAGCCUGUGCCUGACUGAAAAGAAACUCAACCAUCCCACAAAGGAAAAGAAUACAGAGAAAAAGCAGGCCUCGGUUUCCUGUUUUUGCCACAGAAUCACUCAUUCCCUCUGCUGGUUGUUUCAUCUACUUGCACUAAACUAAAUCAUAAAGACCAUCGCUAAAGCACAAAGAAGCCCAAGGCCAAGAAUACAGUUCACACUAAUGAAGAGCUGCCAGAACUAGAAGCAGUCUAGCGCUGACAUUAGGAGACAGCUUCAAUAAGUGCUACACCAAAUCCCUAACCUUUCAUGUCAGGAUUCACUCUGGAUACCAAGCUCUCUAUCUUUGUCUUAAAAGGGCUAAGUGUGUACUUCUGAGAGUGGCAAAUGUGAGGCCACUAAGAGUGGCACAGCGGAUAAAGCCACUGCCUGCGACACCCACAUCCCAUAUGGGCACUGGUUCAAGUCUUAACUGCUCCAUUUCCAAUUCAGCUCCUGCAAAUGGCCUGAGAAAAACAGCAGAGGAUGGCCCAAGUGUUUGGGCCCCUGUCACCCAUGUGGGAGACCUGUAUGAAGCUCCUGGCUUUGGCCUGGUCCAGCACUGGGUAUCAGGGCCAUUUUGGGAGUGAACCAGCAGAUGGAAGCACAAUCUUUCAGUCUCUCAUUCUUGCUCUCUGACUUUCAAAUAAAUAAAUCUUUAAAAUAAACAAAAGAGCAAAUGCAUGUGACACACAAAACUAUAGGUCACAGCCCAUAAGAGAUCCCAAUCCAUGUGCUACUCCUAACAGAGCCAUAUCCAGCUAACAGUGUUGCCUGAACUACAAGGUGGAGGUGCCUAUUUAACACUUGAAAGAAAGGGCCAGCAGCAACUACUCUAAGGAUUCCAAGCACAAGAGAGCUGGAGAGGCUUAGUAGAAAGGCCUGUCUGUACGUUACCACAACUCAUGUUCCAAACAAGUCCCAAAAAGGACAUUUUAAAAUGAUAAACAAUACAAAUAGGAAUCUUCAAGUAAGUUCACAGAAAGUAGGCAAGAUUAGAACUAGUACGUGAAACAGUAAUGACAAACACAAAUCCCUCACUAUCACCAAUACUGACUACUUUAAAAAUAAGAAAGCCACUGUUCUUCCAACCAAACAUUAAGUGGUGGAUGUGCAGGUAUACAAAGACAGCACUAACAACUUCCUCCUAAGCUAAAAUGUCUCAGUGUGUCUGCCACACUCACCUACUGAGCUGCCAUCAAAGAGUAUGGUAAGUUCAAAGGUCAGCAGUGAGACAACAGAAUACGGAAAGGGAAAAAACACCAACCUUAGAGAGAAAGCUUAAAAAUACCACCUUAACCAGGGAUAAAGAUAAGCAUCUCGAGUAAUGUCAUGCCUGGCCACCAUUUGCUACAGUGGAAAGGGUACUUCAUCUCGUGAUGUACUUUUUAAAAACCAAAAACCACAGUCUAAUGAGAAAGCAGACACACCCAAACUGUAAGGACAUUACACAAAAUACCUGUCCAGUACUCCUCAAAUCUGUCCAGGUCAUAGAAACAAAAGACUCAGAAACUGCCACAAAUCAAAGAAGACCAAAGGACACAAGAUGACUAAAUGCACUGUGGUAUCCCGGACUGGGUCCUGAAACAGAAGGACUUUGAGAUCCAAUCAAAAUCUGGAGUACAAUUAAUAGUAAUGUAAAAAGACUGGUUUCUUAGUUUUGACAAAUGUACCAUAUCAAUGUGAGGUAUGAAUAAUAAGGAAAGCUGGGUGGAAGCUUGGCAAUUUUUUGUAAAACUAAAUUAUUCCAGAAUAAGUUUAUUCUAAGACAAGCAAACAACAAAUGAGUAAGAGAGCCAGUGGCAAGAGGAACCAGUGUUGCAGAAAUGGACUUUCUGACAUUAGAGAGUCCAGAAAAGCCCUUCAGGUUGGCGUGCAUGUCUUGAUAGAUACAGAGAGAACAGAAGUAACAGAGAACACAGUAAGUCUCUAGAAACUGCUCUUUAUAUUACCUGCGC